UAGGCUUGCUGGGCUCCGCAGCGGCGCCUGGGUCUGACCGUUAGGGCCCGACACCGUGACAAAUUCCGGAGCUUGA
rfam:Rhizobium sp. Leaf306 contig_5, whole genome shotgun sequence.